AGAGGGAUAGCUGGGUCAAAUGAUGAUUCCAUUCUCAGUUUUCCAAGGAAUCUUCAUACUGCUUUCCAUAUUGGGUGCACCAAUUUGUAGUCCCAUCAGCAAU
rnacentral:pre_miRNA from 1 species